rnacentral:lncRNA from 1 species
UGAGUCAGCAUUUAAGAGUUAUACCUACCCAAGGUCUUUAUGGGCAUUUCCUAUCCUUAUGAGGGUAAAACUGUCCUUACUAUUGAGAAGUAAGUAGUCUUAUCCCUUUGGAUGUAAAGGGACAUCGUAGGGUCACCGAUCAGUCAUUGAAGGCAACAUUUGUAAGGAUACCUUAGCAUUCGAAGGGGCGAUCAUCAUUU